AAUGGUGCAGACGGGUGAGUAACGCGUGGAACGUGCCUUUCACUACGGAAUAGCUUUUGGAAACGAAAGGUAAUACCGUAUACGCCCUCCGGGGGAAAGAUUUAUCGGUGAAAGAUCGGUCCGCGUUAGAUUAGCUAGUUGGUGAGGUAACGGCUCACCAAGGCUACGAUCUAUAGCUGGUCUGAGAGGAUGAUCAGCCACACUGGGACUGAGACACGGCCCAGACUCCUACGGGAGGCAGCAGUGGGGAAUAUUGCACAAUGGGCGCAAGCCUGAUGCAGCCAUGCCGCGUGAAUGAUGAAGGCCUUAGGGUUGUAAAAUUCUUUCGCCAAGGAUGAUAAUGACAGUACUUGGUAAAGAAGCCCCGGCUAACUUCGUGCCAGCAGCCGCGGUAAUACGAAGGGGGCUAGCGUUGUUCGGAAUUACUGGGCGUAAAGCGCACGUAGGCGGACUUUUAAGUCAGAUGUGAAAUCCCGAGGCUCAACCUCGGAACUGCAUUUGAAACUGGGAGUCUAGAGAUCAGGAGAGGUUAGCGGAAUACCGAGUGUAGAGGUGAAAUUCGUAGAUAUUCGGUGGAACACCAGUGGCGAAGGCGGCUAACUGGACUGAUACUGACGCUGAGGUGCGAAAGUGUGGGGAGCAAACAGGAUUAGAUACCCUGGUAGUCCACACCGUAAACGAUGAGUGCUAGUUGUCUGCAGGCAUGCCUGUAGGUGACGCAGCUAACGUAUUAAGCACUCCGCCUGGGGAGUACGGCCGCAAGGUUAAAACUCAAAGAAAUUGACGGGGGCCCGCACAAGCGGUGGAGCAUGUGGUUUAAUUCGAAGCAACGCGCAGAACCUUACCUACGCUUGACAUGCCUGGACGACUCCGAGAGAUCGGUUUCUCCCUUCGGGGCCAGUGCACAGGUGCUGCAUGGCUGU
rnacentral:rRNA from 1 species